rnacentral:rRNA from 1 species
CAAUAGCGUAUAUUAAAGUUGUUGCAGUUAAAAAGCUCGUAGUUGAAUUUCUGGCGGGCGCGCCGGUCUUCCAAGUGUUGUACUGGGCGCAGUCCGCCAUCCUUGUGGAGAGGGCUCGCAUUGAGUUGCGUGUCGGAUCUGCAUCAUUUACUGUGAAAAAAUUAGAGUGUUUAAAGCAGGCUGUCGCUUGAAUACAUUAGCAUGGAAUAAUAAGAUAGGACUUCGGUCUAUUUUGUUGGUUGCGAACCGAGGUAAUGAUUAAUAGGGAUAGUUGGGGGUAUUCAUAUUUGAUUGUCAGAGGUGAAAUUCUUGGAUUUAUGAAAGAUGAACAACUGCGAAAGCAUUUACCAAGGAUGUUUUCAUUAA